ACACACAGUUUUAAAUGCACCAUCCAUUCAAUGAUAUAUUGGUCUAAAAUUCUCUUUUUUGUUGUGUCUCUGGCCAGGCUUUGGUAUCAGGAUGAUACUGGCCUCAUAAAUUUAUUAUUUCUAAUCAAAUAUUGGUUUGUUCUCAUCUCGGAUCCUAAAAUGCAGAGACUGGAUUAUUAAAUCUUUACUUUUUCUUUUUACUUUCUCUCUCUGGUUUCUUCUUUUGUGCGUUUUUCAUUUCUUGCUCUCUUUUUUUUGCUCUCUCUUCAUUCUCUUUUCCCUCGUUCUCUCUACUUUUUCCUCUUGCUUUACCCUGUUCAGAUUGGAGUAGAGUUCGCCAAAGCUCUUGGAGAGAAAGGUAUGGCCAUCCCUGGAGGACUCCCUGAACCAGAACAUGACAUUAGCAGAAGAGUGGAAUGAUCACACCAUCGUGGGCCCUCUGAACCUUUUAAUAGGAAUUAUUUUAAUUUUAAUUUGCUUUCAUUUCAUCCACUUAUUUUUUCUUUGUAUUAAAUUCGUUCCACACUGCUAUAACGAACUACUUGAGACUGGGUAAUUUAUGAAGAAAAGAGCUUUAAUCGACUCACAGUUCUGCAGGCUAUACAGGAAGCGUGGCUCCGAGGCCUCAUGAAACUUACAAUAAUGACAGAAGGGCAAAGGAGAAGCCAGCACAUCUUGACUUGGAAGCAGGAGAGAGAGAAAGCACACAAAGGCAGAAGAGCUACACACUUUCAAACUACCAGAUCUUGUGAGAACUCUA
rnacentral:lncRNA from 1 species